AUACGGAGGAUGCGAGCGUUAUCCGGAUUUAUUGGGUUUAAAGGGUGCGCAGGCGGGCGAUUAAGUCAGCGGUGAAAGGCUCGGGCUCAAUCGGAGCAGUGCCGUUGAUACUGGUUGUCUUGAAUGCGGUCAAGGCCGGCGGAAUGUGGCGUGUAGCGGUGAAAUGCAUAGAUAUGCCACAGAACACCGAUAGCGAAGGCAGCUGGCCGGGCCUGCAUUGACGCUGAGGCACGAAAGCGUGGGGAUCGAACAGGAUUAGAUACCCUGGUAGUCCACGCUGUAAACGAUGGACACUCGUUGUCGGCGACAGACAGUCGGCGGCCAAGCGAAAGUGAUAAGUGUCCCACCUGGGGAGUACGGUCGCAAGGCUGAAACUUAAAGGAAUUGACGGGG
rnacentral:rRNA from 1 species